rnacentral:rRNA from 1 species
CAGCCGCCGCGGGAAUACGUAGGGUGCAGGCGUUAAUCGGAAUUACUGGGCGUAAAGCGUGCGCAGGCGGUUUGUUAAGACAGAUGUGAAAUCCCCGGGCUCAACCUGGGAACUGCAUUUGUGACUGGCAAGCUAGAGUAUGGCAGAGGGGGGUGGAAUUCCGCGUGUAGCAGUGAAAUGCGUAGAUAUGCGGAGGAACACCGAUGGCGAAGGCAGCUCACUGGACCGACACUGACGCUGAGGCGCGAAAGCGUAGGGAGCAAACAGGAUUAGAUACCCCUGUAGUCCCUGUCUCUUAUAC